GGUCAAGUGAAGAAGCGCAUACGGUGGAUGCCUUGGCAGUCAGAGGCGAUGAAAGACGUGGUAGCCUGCGAAAAGCUUCGGGGAGUCGGCAAACAGACUUUGAUCCGGAGAUCUCUGAAUGGGGAACCCACCUAGGAUAACCUAGGUAUCUUGUACUGAAUCCAUAGGUGCAAGAGGCGAACCAGGGGAACUGAAACAUCUAAGUACCCUGAGGAAAAGAAAUCAACCGAGAUUCCCUUAGUAGUGGCGAGCGAACGGGGAUUAGCCCUUAAGCUUCAUUGAUUUUAGCGGAACGCUCUGGAAAGUGCGGCCAUAGUGGGUGAUAGCCCCGUACGCGAAAGGAUCUUUGAAGUGAAAUCGAGUAGGACGGAGCACGAGAAACUUUGUCUGAACAUGGGGACCAUCCUCCAAGGCUAAAUACUACUGACUGACCGAUAGUGAACCAGUACCGUGAGGGAAAGGCGAAAAGAACCCCGGAGAGGGGAGUGAAAUAGAACCUGAAACCGUAUGCGUACAAGCAGUGGGAGCCUACUUGUUAGGUGACUGCGUACCUUUUGUAUAAUGGGUCAGCGACUUAUAUUCAGUGGCAAGCUUAACCGUAUAGGGUAGGCGUAGCGAAAGCGAGUCUUAAUAGGGCGUUUAGUCGCUGGGUAUAGACCCGAAACCGGGCGAUCUAUCCAUGAGCAGGUUGAAGGUUAGGUAACACUGACUGGAGGACCGAACCCACUCCCGUUGAAAAGGUAGGGGAUGACUUGUGGAUCGGAGUGAAAGGCUAAUCAAGCUCGGAGAUAGCUGGUUCUCCUCGAAAGCUAUUUAGGUAGCGCCUCAUGUAUCACUCUGGGGGGUAGAGCACUGUUUCGGCUAGGGGGGCCAUCCCGACUUACCAAACCGAUGCAAACUCCGAAUACCCAGAAGUGCCGAGCAUGGGAGACACACGGCGGGUGCUAACGUCCGUCGUGAAAAGGGAAACAACCCAGACCGCCAGCUAAGGUCCCAAAGUUGUGGUUAAGUGGUAAACGAUGUGGGAAGGCUUAGACAGCUAGGAGGUUGGCUUAGAAGCAGCCAUCCUUUAAAGAAAGCGUAAUAGCUCACUAGUCGAGUCGGCCUGCGCGGAAGAUGUAACGGGGCUCAAACCACACACCGAAGCUGCGGGUGUCACGUAAGUGACGCGGUAGAGGAGCGUUCUGUAAGCCUGUGAAGGUGAGUUGAGAAGCUUGCUGGAGGUAUCAGAAGUGCGAAUGCUGACAUGAGUAACGACAAUGGGUGUGAAAAACACCCACGCCGAAAGACCAAGGGUUCCUGCGCAACGUUAAUCGACGCAGGGUUAGUCGGUUCCUAAGGCGAGGCUGAAAAGCGUAGUCGAUGGGAAACAGGUUAAUAUUCCUGUACUUCUGGUUACUGCGAUGGAGGGACGGAGAAGGCUAGGCCAGCUUGGCGUUGGUUGUCCAAGUUUAAGGUGGUAGGCUGAAAUCUUAGGUAAAUCCGGGGUUUCAAGGCCGAGAGCUGAUGACGAGUCGUCUUUUAGAUGACGAAGUGGUUGAUGCCAUGCUUCCAAGAAAAGCUUCUAAGCUUCAGGUAACCAGGAACCGUACCCCAAACCGACACAGGUGGUCGGGUAGAGAAUACCAAGGCGCUUGAGAGAACUCGGGUGAAGGAACUAGGCAAAAUGGCACCGUAACUUCGGGAGAAGGUGCGCCGGCUAGGGUGAAGGAUUUACUCCGUAAGCUCUGGCUGGUCGAAGAUACCAGGCCGCUGCGACUGUUUAUUAAAAACACAGCACUCUGCAAACACGAAAGUGGACGUAUAGGGUGUGACGCCUGCCCGGUGCCGGAAGGUUAAUUGAUGGGGUUAGCGCAAGCGAAGCUCUUGAUCGAAGCCCCGGUAAACGGCGGCCGUAACUAUAACGGUCCUAAGGUAGCGAAAUUCCUUGUCGGGUAAGUUCCGACCUGCACGAAUGGCGUAACGAUGGCGGCGCUGUCUCCACCCGAGACUCAGUGAAAUUGAAAUCGCUGUGAAGAUGCAGUGUAUCCGCGGCUAGACGGAAAGACCCCGUGAACCUUUACUGUAGCUUUGCACUGGACUUUGAGCCUGCUUGUGUAGGAUAGGUGGGAGGCUUUGAAGCGUGGACGCCAGUUCGCGUGGAGCCAUCCUUGAAAUACCACCCUGGCAUGCUUGAGGUUCUAACUCUGGUCCGUGAUCCGGAUCGAGGACAGUGUAUGGUGGGCAGUUUGACUGGGGCGGUCUCCUCCUAAAGAGUAACGGAGGAGUACGAAGGUGCGCUCAGACCGGUCGGAAAUCGGUCGUAGAGUAUAAAGGCAAAAGCGCGCUUGACUGCGAGACAGACACGUCGAGCAGGUACGAAAGUAGGUCUUAGUGAUCCGGUGGUUCUGUAUGGAAGGGCCAUCGCUCAACGGAUAAAAGGUACUCCGGGGAUAACAGGCUGAUACCGCCCAAGAGUUCAUAUCGACGGCGGUGUUUGGCACCUCGAUGUCGGCUCAUCACAUCCUGGGGCUGAAGCCGGUCCCAAGGGUAUGGCUGUUCGCCAUUUAAAGUGGUACGCGAGCUGGGUUUAGAACGUCGUGAGACAGUUCGGUCCCUAUCUGCCGUGGACGUUUGAGAUUUGAGAGGGGCUGCUCCUAGUACGAGAGGACCGGAGUGGACGAACCUCUGGUGUUCCGGUUGUCACGCCAGUGGCAUUGCCGGGUAGCUAUGUUCGGAAAAGAUAACCGCUGAAAGCAUCUAAGCGGGAAACUUGCCUCAAGAUGAGAUCUCACUGGGAACUUGAUUCCCCUGAAGGGCCGUCGAAGACUACGACGUUGAUAGGCUGGGUGUGUAAGCGUUGUGAGGCGUUGAGCUAACCAGUACUAAUUGCCCGUGAGGCUUGACCAU
rnacentral:rRNA from 1 species